rnacentral:lncRNA from 1 species
ACAUAAAUCAGAACAACCUCUGGUUCUGCACUUACACACCAGUAUUUAGAAAUACAAUAGAUUCAGAAAGGAUUACACCUGAUGAAGAUCAAAUGAAAAGAUUACAACAAUCCUAUUCCACUUCUUUGAGAAAACCCAAAAAGCUUGAAUGCAAAUCUUGAAAAUUCAAAUUUGUUUUCUCACUUUCACAAAUGUCUCAAAACUGUUAUCAAACUUUAAGAGAAUAUAACAACCUCUUUAAAUACUCCAAAAGCUGUUAAAAAC